CGUAGGCGGUUGGAUAAGUCAGCUGUGAAAACCACGGGCUUAACUCGUGGCCUGCAGUUGAGACUGUCUGGCUUGAGUGUGGGAGAGGAGAGUGGAAUUCCUGGUGUAGCGGUGAAAUGCGUAGAUAUCAGGAGGAACACCGGUGGCGAAGGCGGCUCUCUGGACCACAACUGACGCUGAGGCGCGAAAGCUAGGGGAGCAAACA
rnacentral:rRNA from 1 species